UCCUUAGAUGUCCGGGGCCGCACGCGCGCUACACUGAAGGAAUCAGCGUGGCUUUCUCCCUGACCCGAAAGGGUUGGGAAACCCGUUGAAUCUCCUUCGUGAUAGGGAUUGGGGCUUGAAAUUGUUCCCCAUGAACGAGGAAUUCCCAGUAAGCGCGAGUCAUAAGCUCGCGUUGAUUACGUCCCUGCCCUUUGUACACACCGCCCGUCGCUACUACCGAUUGAACGGUUUAGUGAGGGCCUCGGAUUGGUCUCGGCCCGCUCUUUACCGGGCGGCGCCGUUGGUCGAGAAGACGCUCGAACUUGAUCGUUUAGAGGAAGUAAAAGUCGUAACA
rnacentral:rRNA from 1 species